GUAGUGUAUGGACCCUGCAUACCUACUCGUUUAAUCAUAAUCGAGGAGGGGAGAGUGCGUGUGUGGCUAAAGUUUAACGAGUAUGGUGAACCUGCAUAUGGAUAGAGUUUGAAACCUAAUCUAGACGUGGAUAGGUCUUUGUGAGCAUGGAUCACCUAGCAAACGUAACUAUUGUGGCCAAUACGAGAUUUUGUGUGUGUGUUAUCCAUGUGAUGGGGAGAUCCAUUUCGCCUCUCUUCAACGACAAUAUAAAUGUCAUGGCGCAAUGAAACCUUAGAAAUGACCUUCUGAGUGUGUAUGUUCUUUCGAGUGUAUGAGAUGAUACUUCGAGACUAUAAAU
rnacentral:lncRNA from 1 species